UGCGCGCACGCCAUGGACGGAAGCAGGAAGAGGGCCUAGGCCGCAUUACCUCUCGGAUCUGCUGCAGGCGCUCCUCCAGGCUGUGGCGGCUCUCCAACUCCAGCUUCAGCUUCUCCAGCCUCGAGAUCAGCUCAGCUGCAAAGGUGGCGGGUUCCACGGGGGUCAUCUCCUUGGGCAGGCGGACUCAACAUAGCAGAAAACAGCUGCCUCCUCACUCCAGACUGUACUCACCGGGAAAUGAGGUAGAGACACUUGGCCAUUGGCCUUCACACUGCGAUGCAUUUCUCUCUGGAGCUGUUUCUUACUGCCCACACGAUAAGGAGGAAUUCCAUCUCUAAGGGAAAGGAAAAGACAGAAUCCAUAGGCUUACGAGGAUGUUUUCAGCACAUGAGCUACUCUCAUAUUCCAUCUUGAGAUCCCGCCGACAGGGCCACAUGCUUCCAUAGGAGUGUCACAUGUCUCCAGAUGCCAUCGGUGUUCCCACAGGGAAGGACCCACCCAAGAUCAAAUUUAAAUCCUGCCCAUCAAUCAUCUAUGGAAACUUGGCUCCCUCGGAUGCAGAAGCAUUGACUUGGAAAGAGCCUGGAAAGUUCAUCUCUUGGGCUGUUAUCUUCGAACUGGGUUACACUCCAGCCAGCCCAGGCAGAGCAAAGGCUCCCCUAUUUUACAGGUGCCCCAAGUAGGAGAUUCUCAGGCCCCAUUGGUCCUCCCACUUGUUCCCACUGCUUCAAACCAGGAACCAGUGCCUUACGGAUAGGGCCAGGGCAGAAAGUUGUAGGGAUAAGGACCAAACCUACAGAGGGCUAAAUCAGGCAUUAGUGAAGCAUGCAUAACUCUCCAAGUCAACCUCCCAGUCAUUUCCAAAUGUAUUUCUUUUUAUAAACCAGUACAGGGUGAUUAAUAAAAAGAAUAUAUA